rnacentral:rRNA from 1 species
AUACGGAGGGUCCAAGCGUUAUCCGGAUUCAUUGGGUUUAAAGGGUCCGCAGGCGGGAAAAUAAGUCAGUGGUGAAAGCCUACAGCUCAACUGUAGAACUGCCAUUGAUACUGUUUUUCUUGAGUAUAGAUGAAGUGGGCGGAAUAUAUCAUGUAGCGGUGAAAUGCAUAGAUAUGAUAUAGAACACCGAUUGCGAAGGCAGCUCACUGAACUAUUACUGACGCUCAGGGACGAAAGCGUGGGGAGCGAACAGGAUUAGAAACCCUAGUAGUCC